GACGAACGCUGGCGGCGUGCUUAACACAUGCAAGUCGAACGGAAAGGCCCUGCUUUUGUGGGGUGCUCGAGUGGCGAACGGGUGAGUAACACGUGAGUAACCUGCCCUUGACUUUGGGAUAACUUCAGGAAACUGGGGCUAAUACCGGAUAUGAGCUCCUGCUGCAUGGUGGGGGUUGGAAAGUUUCGGCGGUUGGGGAUGGACUCGCGGCUUAUCAGCUUGUUGGUGGGGUAGUGGCUUACCAAGGCUUUGACGGGUAGCCGGCCUGAGAGGGUGACCGGCCACAUUGGGACUGAGAUACGGCCCAGACUCCUACGGGAGGCAGCAGUGGGGAAUAUUGCACAAUGGGCGGAAGCCUGAGGCAGAAACGCCGCGUGCGGGAUGACGGCCUUCGGGUUGUAAACCGCUUUCGCCUGUGACGAAGCGUGAGUGACGGUAAUGGGUAAAGAAGCACCGGCUAACUACGUG
rnacentral:rRNA from 1 species